AUUGAACGCUGGCGGCAGGCCUAACUCAUGCAAGUCGAACGAGUGGCGGACGGGUGAGUAAUGUCUGGGAAACUGCCCGAUGGAGGGGGAUAACUACUGGAAACGGUAGCUAAUACCGCAUACCAUCGGAUGUGCCCAGAUGGGAUUAGCUGGUAGGUGGGGUAACGUCUCACCGAGGCGACGAUCCCUAGCUGGUCUGAGAGUAUGACCAGCCACCCUGGAACUGAGCCACGGUCCAGACUCCUACGGGAGGCAGCAGUGGGGAAUAUUGCACAAUGGGCGCAAGCCCGAUACAGCCAGGCCGCGUGUAUGAAGAAGGCCUUCGGGUUGUAAAGUACUUUCAGCGAGGAGGCGUUACUCGCAGAAGAAGCACCGGCUAACUCCGGGCCAGCAGCCGCGGUAAUAC
rnacentral:rRNA from 1 species